GAUGAACGCUGGCGGCGUGCCUAAUACAUGCAAGUCGAGCGAACGGACGAGAAGCUUGCUUCUCUGAUGUUAGCGGCGGACGGGUGAGUAACACGUGGAUAACCUACCUAUAAGACUGGGAUAACUUCGGGAAACCGGAGCUAAUACCGGAUAAUAUUUUGAACCGCAUGGUUCAAAAGUGAAAGACGGUCUUGCUGUCACUUAUAGAUGGAUCCGCGCUGCAUUAGCUAGUUGGUAAGGUAACGGCUUACCAAGGCAACGAUGCAUAGCCGACCUGAGAGGGUGAUCGGCCACACUGGAACUGAGACACGGUCCAGACUCCUACGGGAGGCAGCAGUAGGGAAUCUUCCGCAAUGGGAGAAAGCCUGACGGAGCAACGACGCGUGAGUGAUGAAGGUCUUCGGAUCGUAAAACUCUGUUAUUAGGGAAGAACAUAUGUGUAAGUAACUGUGCACAUCUUGACGGUACCUAAUCAGAAAGCCACGGCUAACUACGUG
rnacentral:rRNA from 1 species